ACUUUGGCGUAUACGGUCAGGUUCAGUUUAUCGGAGUAAGAGAGAAGAGUCAUUCACCGUUAGGUAAAGUUGCAAUGGUCUAAGCGGAGAUCCUAUUAAUAACUUGACGGCUGACGACCAGUUAGCCUAUGGUUUGGAUUGUGGUGACCUGCCCGAGCUGAUUCAGGAGACGGACAUUUAAGACGAGGAUCGGAAAAACUCCUGUGGACCACUAAGAAGAACGUUUUUCCGCGUCUGCGCUUCCGGUUGUAGACAGUUUGCUGGUGUGUUUUUUCUCCCGGGUUCUGGCUGCCGUCCAUCGCCCGGAUUCCGCUCAUCUUCUCCUUUGAAUGGGGCAUGGGAGACGUGGUCUUGUCCAGCACCGUGAGUGUAGAUGGCCACGUCCUGGCAGUGUCCGACAACAUGUUUGUCCACAACAACUCUAAGCACGGCCGAAGGGCCCGCAGACUGGAGCCCGGCGAGUCUGUGGAGAAUACUAUGGAAUAUGCCACCCCGUGCAUCAAAGCCAUUAGUCCCAGUGAGGGCUGGACCACCGGCGGGGCGAUGGUCAUCGUCAUUGGGGAGAACUUUUUUGACGGCCUGCAGGUGGUGUUUGGCAGCAUGCUGGUGUGGAGUGAGUCUGCAUGCAUGCAAUCUCACUGUGAGCUGCUGUGAGAACCUGGCAAAGAAUAUCAACCCAUCACAAGUUAGAGAGCUGGACCUGUCCAACAACAACCUGACAGAUGCAGGAAUAACACUGCUCUCCAAGAAACUGAAGAACAGCAAAUUGGAGAAACUCAGACUGAGGAGCUGCAAUCUAACACAGCACAGCUCCGAUGACCUGACCGCCGUCAUCAGCUCAGCCUCCUGCCAGCUUAGAGAAUUGGACCUAUCUGACAAUGACUUGCAGGACGUAGGAGUCAAAACGCUCUCUGGUGGACUGGAGAGUCCUCACUGUCAACUGAAGAUACUCUCUGUGUCCUUGUGCAGAGUGACAGAGGAAGGCUGCACUUUCCUGGCAUCAGCUUUGAACUCGUCCAGUUUGAGAGAGCUGGACCUGAGCUACAACCACCCGGGAGAGUUGGGCGUGCAGCUUCUGUCUGCUCUGAUGGCCGACCCACAAUGCAGCCUGCAGAAACUCAGUGUGGAGCAAUGUGGUGAAUCCAGGAUUCAGCCAGGUCCAAAGAAAUACACCACCAAACUCACCCUGGACCCGAACACGGCACACAGGGACCACUCUCUGUCCGGAGGAGACAGGAAAGCGAGGCGUUGGACCAAGCAGCCUUAUCCUGAUCACCCGGAAAGGUUUGAAUUUUGGACUCAGGUGCUGUGCAGGGAGGAGCUGACCGGCCGCUGCUACUGGGAGCCAGAAUGGAGCGGGAGAGCUGUCACCGGAGUAGCCUACAAAAAGAUGUGCAGGACGGGAGAGGGUCGGGACAGCUGGUUGGGGAAAAACGACUGUUCCUGGGCACAGAGCUGCACCAAAGACGCCUACAGGACCUGGCACAAUGACAUGAGCACUGCUGUAACCAUCCCACCCAACUCCAAUAAGGUGGGGGUCUAUCUGGACUGGUCAGCGGGGAAACUGUCCUUCUUCACGGUGUCCUGUGGCACACUGACGCUGCUCCACACCUUCCACACGACCUUCACUGAGCCCGCCCAGCGUUCAGACUUGGCUGGGUGGACUCCACGGUCUACCUGUGCUAGGAGGAGCAGCUGAGAUGAGGAGUUGGAUCCAGGUGAAGAAGACUGCGGCGGCUGAAGCUGGCGGAGCAGCAGGGCGCCGCUGCGUACGUUGGCCCGUCACUGUGUUGGAUAAAAGCGUCGCAUUCACUGAUGUCUACGCAUCGUCAAUGACAGUGCGGGCCGCUCCCCUGGCCUGCGUUUGAGCUCUGCCGCGUGUAGAGACACGCUCACACAUAGAUAUAUGUAUGUGUUUUAUUCACAUGGAAGGAUUCCAGCCUCUCUGGGAGGAAGGCAGCCGCUGGGGCUGCGCAGCCGGCUGGCAGCUCCGUCUAGCGGGGCCACGAGUCAAACACAAUUCAUGGGCUGCUCUGUGCUUGGGAUGCAGCAUCUAUAACGGGGGCAUGUCGUGCGUUCAGCUUCGGGGCGUGUGUGGGAAACAGGGUCCUUUGGCGCCAUCGUGUGGCGGCGGCGGGGCGUUGCAGCACCAGAGGGCAGCGGGAGUAGAAACGUCCACAGCGCACGUCGUGUGGCUCAGUCAUCGAUCGCGGCGCUGCAACGCGACUGACUUUCAUCCGGGUGUCUUGAUCGGUUCGAACGGGGGGGGGGGGGGAUUCCACUUUUUUGUGACAGCAGAGCAUAGACAUGUAUAGAAAGGCUAGAUGGCUCAAGGCGAAGUCAGCUGUGUCGUCACUUGGCGGCCAUCUUGGGUCAGGAGACUGCGCUGCUGUGGACGGAAGGUUUCCCAAAUGUAGCGAGCGCUGGAGACAGUGGGAGCGUGCCCUGAGAAGGGAAGGUUUUGUGGCUAAUGACAGAACAUACUGCUCUGCAGCGAACACUUCAGAAAUGAAGAUUUGGACGGGACAGACUAUCGGAUUCAAAGCUGGACCUGUUCCAUCUGUCUUCAACUUCCCUGCUCAUCUUCAGAGGCCGGUAGCACCAAGAAGCACAAACGCUUCAAGAAAAGCAGGAGAAAACCAGCCCAUGUACCCCGAGCAGGAUCAACCUCCACCUGAUGUUGCUCUUAAGGCCAAACUUGAUGCAGCCAUGGCCACAGCGCAUGAACUGUGGCGGGAAAAGAGCAAUGCCUUGGCAAGGGUAAGGAGGGCCAAGAAGAACAUGAAGGCUCUUCUGGAGGAGCUGAAAGCUAAGAACCUCAUCAAUGAAGAGCUGAAUGACAAGCUGGAAUGCUACUCAGAUCUUCCGGUUCACCUCCUGUCAAGACGGGGUGCAGAGUACACCCAGGCCCAGAGAGACUUUGCGCUCACUCUCCACCUGCAUGGUCCUAAGGCGUAUCACUACCUGAGAGACGACCUGAAAAUUCACCUUCCACAUCCCAGUUCCUUGAAAAGGUGGCUGAGCUCACUGGACGCCAAACCUGGCCUCAACAAAAUGAUGCUGGACAUGCUGGGAAAACGGCGCCAAGAAGAUGAGGCCAAAUAUGGGGUUGUCACUCUGAUGUUGGAUGCGAUGGCCAUAAAGAAGCAUGUUCAGUACGAUCCACAGUCACAAACCAUGUCUGGUUUUGUGGACAUGGGGGAUCGUAUAAAUCAAAGUGACAUAGCUUCAGAGGCUCUUGUGUUUCUGGUCGUUGGGCUCCAAGGUUACUGGAAGGCUCCAAUUGGUUACUAUUUGACUAAGAGCCUAACCCCGGAAACGCAGAGUGUCUUAGUUGUGCAUGCUCUGGAAGAGCUUCAUCAGCGCCAGAUCUUGUGACCUUAAGGCAACACCAUGUGAGCCCUUGAAGACACAUUUCUCCCAUCCAAGAACCCGUGACAAGGUUUUUGUUAUGAUGGACGCUUGCCACAUGUUGAAGCUGACGCGCAAUAUGUUGGAGGCAUACAGCCCAAUUUUAAGCGUCACUGGCACCAUCAAUUGGAAGUACAUCGUUCAUCUGGCCUGCAUGCUGCAAAUAGGGUCACUGAUAAUCAUGUUUACUUUGGUAAUCAGAAGAUGAAGGUCUCCCUGGCUGCUCAGGCCCGCAGUAAUUCCGUGGCAGUGGCCCUGCGCACCUUGCAGGAUCUGAAGGAAUAUGCAGUGUUGCAAGAUUGUGAGGCUACAGCAGAAUUUAUCGAGAUAACGGACAGGCUGUUCGAUAUCUUGAACAGCCGCAAUCCCAGAGGCAGAGGGUUCAAAGCCCCACUUGGUUCUCGGAACUGGACAAGCACCAGGGAGUUCUUGUCAAGAGCCAGGGCUUACUUGCUCGCUUUGAGGAUGGGAGAUGGCACACCCCUCUACCGUACAAAGAGAUGCUCUGUCCUCCUCCUGUCUGCAUCGCGUUCAAAAGAUGCUCUGUCCUGUCUGAGUUCAUGAGAUGGCCCACUCUUCAAGUGGUUGCUCUCUGUCCUCGGCUUUGUCAUAAACAUUGACACAUUGAUGGCGAUGAUUCCCGUGCUCCUCGAAGGACAGCGAUAUGUCCUGACGUACCGAUUCAGCCAGGACCACUUGGAGCUUCUUUUCAACUCAUCAGAGCAUCCGACACAUCUACCAACCUGUCGGCUGUAGACAUGUCCUCUGCAGAAGGAGAAGAUCUCCCUUCCCCGUUUGCAGACAUUCCUGCCCUUGUACAAGACCACAGCUAUCUUCCCAAGAAGUUUGAUGGUCUUGUGGAAAAUGUGCUUGUGUACAUUUCAGGAUUUGUGGUGCGACGCACACUAAAAAAGCUUUCCUGUGAUGUCUGCCGGGCAAGCCUGUUGAUGGAUGCUGAAUCUGCCAGUAAGGACCAGAGCUACCAUCUGCUGACGCUGAAAAACAAUGUAGGUCUUGUCAUCCCAUCAGCAGGCACCGUGAAGGUCGUCAGGGCAGCAGAGUGGGUUGUUCGGCAGGCAGUAGCAGAUUCCAGGAGAUCGCAACCCAUCAAACUGUUGGAGGUCCUCUACGUGGUGAGGAAGAGGAUAAGUGGAGAGGAUGUGUUUUUGCUCGGGGAGCACGUCACUGACACGCGAUAUGGCAUUGACAGUCACCACCAUACACUCUUGACUCUGGUUGUGUCCCUCUUCUUCAAGCUAAGGCUGCACCACAUUGCGAAAAUGUCAACGCUUAGCUUGCAGAAAGACAGUGUGAGACAGAAGCUCACAAAAACUGUCCUUUUCAAAGGGCAGUAGCGCAAACUAUUUGUGCACUUAAAGGAUGGGUUUUCAACUGGUGGUCUGUUUAGUUUGCUACUCUUCUUUGAUGUUUGCAUGUGAAUGAGUGGUGUAUGAGUGUGUGCGUGAAUGGGUGAAUGUGGGGCUUUGUAAAGCGCUUUGUGCACCAAGACGGUGUAGAAAAGCGCUAUGUAAGUUCAGACCAUUUAAGAGAGAGGAGGAGAGGGAGGGAGCUGUAUUGAUUAUAUUGUAUUGAUGGAAAGAGUUUUGUGUCCAAUUGUGUCUUAAUGUUUUUUUUUUUUUCUAAUUGUGUGCCUUUGGACCUAAGUAAAAAAACAAAGACCCAUCUCUUUUCUCUUUAUUUUACAGAAUGGCAACUUUAUAUUUACAGAUUUAUAUUAUACAUGAAUUUACACAUGUAUUUAAUAAUGUUAGUGCAAUUUUGUUUAUUACUAAUAUUAUUUCAUGUUUCAUGUACCUUAUAAAUAUUGAUAUCAUUACUGUGUGUGUGUGUAUGGGUAUACCUAGUGCUUUACCUGUCUAGUCUACUUAAUAUACUAUUUUCUUAAUAAACUCCGUGGCUAUAA